rnacentral:rRNA from 1 species
ACGACUCUCGGCAACGGAUAUCUUGGCUCUCGCAUCGAUGAAGAACGUAGCGAAAUGCGAUACCUGGUGUGAAUUGCAGAAUCCCGUGAACCAUCGAGUCUUUGAACGCAAGUUGCGCCCGAGGCCACUCGGCCGAGGGCACGCCUGCCUGGGCGUCACGC